UACGAAGGGGGCGAGCGUUGUUCGGAUUUACUGGGCGUAAAGGGCGCGCAGGCGGCUCAUUUUGUCAGGCGUGAAAGCCCCGGGCUUAACCUGGGAACUGCCUUUGAUACUGGGAGGCUCGAGUCCGGGAGAGGUGAGUGGAACUGCGAGUGUAGAGGUGAAAUUCGUAGAUAUUCGCAAGAACACCAGUGGCGAAGGCGGCUCACUGGCCCGGUACUGACGCUGAGGUGCGAAAGCGUGGGGAGCAAACAGG
rnacentral:rRNA from 1 species